GCUUGCGCUCAAUUGAGACGAGUCUCAUCCGGUAGAGCGAAUGAUUAGAGGCAUUGGGGUCGAAACGACCUCAACCUAUUCUCAAACUCCAAAUAGAUGAGACCCCCGGCUUUCUUAAAAGUGAAGCCGUGGGACUAGGAUCAGAGUGCCAAGUGGGCCAAUUUUGGUAAGCAGAACUGGCGCUGUGG
rnacentral:rRNA from 1 species